AAAGCAUUGCUGAUCAUCUUCGUUGGAUUUUUUGCCGUUUUGCAGGUAGGUUUAUUAGCAUCUCCAGGGACAGUUGAAAGCAUUGCUGAUCAUCUUCGUUGGAUUAUUAGCCGCUUUGCAGGUAGGUUUAUUAGCAUCUCCAGGGACAGUUGAAAGCCUCGUUGAUCAUUUUCGUUGGAUUUUUGGCCGCUUUGCAGGUGAGUGUAUAUUGUGAACUUUUGCUCAAUUCAAAAUAGUUAUUAAUUAGAUGAUUCUUUUUACUUUUCUCGUUUCAGGUAGGUUUAUUAGCGUCUCCAGGGACAUUUGAAAGCCUCGUUGAUCAUUUUCGUUGGAUUUUUGGCCGCUUAGCAGGUGAGUGUAUGUUGUGAACUUUUGCUGGUUUCUAUUUAGCUACUAAUUAGAUGAUUCUUUUUACUUUUCUCAUUUCAGGUAGGUUUAUUAGCAUCUCCAGGGACAGUUGAAAGCCUCGUUGAUCAUUUUCGUUGGAUUUUUGGCCGCUUUGCAGGUGAGUGUAUA
rnacentral:sRNA from 1 species